AGUUCUCGUUGAUGAUCGGUGCUUGCACCGAGAUUCAACAUGGAACGAGUGGCGGACGGGUGAGUAACACGUGGGUAACCUGCCCUUAAGUGGGGGAUAACAUUUGGAAACAGAUGCUAAUACCGCAUAGAUCCAAGAACCGCAUGGUUCUUGGCUGAAAGAUGGCGUAAGCUAUCGCUUUUGGAUGGACCCGCGGCGUAUUAGCUAGUUGGUGAGGUAACGGCUCACCAAGGCGAUGAUACGUAGCCGAACUGAGAGGUUGAUCGGCCACAUUGGGACUGAGACACGGCCCAAACUCCUACGGGAGGCAGCAGUAGGGAAUCUUCCACAAUGGACGCAAGUCUGAUGGAGCAACGCCGCGUGAGUGAAGAAGGCUUUCGGGUCGUAAAACUCUGUUGUUGGAGAAGAAUGGUCGGCAGAGUAACUGUUGUCGGCGUGACGGUAUCCAACCAGAAAGCCACGGCUAACUACGUGCCAGCAGCCGCGGUAAUACGUAGGUGGCAAGCGUUAUCCGGAUUUAUUGGGCGUAAAGCGAGCGCAGGCGGUUUUUUAAGUCUGAUGUGAAAGCCCUCGGCUUAACCGAGGAAGCGCAUCGGAAACUGGGAAACUUGAGUGCAGAAGAGGACAGUGGAACUCCAUGUGUAGCGGUGAAAUGCGUAGAUAUAUGGAAGAACACCAGUGGCGAAGGCGGCUGUCUGGUCUGUAACUGACGCUGAGGCUCGAAAGCAUGGGUAGCGAACAGGAUUAGAUACCCUGGUAGUCCAUGCCGUAAACGAUGAAUGCUAGGUGUUGGAGGGUUUCCGCCCUUCAGUGCCG
rnacentral:rRNA from 1 species